GCCUGGGUGGCUCAGUCGGUUAAGCGCCUGACUUCGGCUCAGGUCGUGAUCCCAUGGUGUGUGAGUUCGAGCCCUGCGUCGGGCU
rfam:Felis catus isolate Cinnamon breed Abyssinian chromosome B3, whole genome shotgun sequence.